UACGAGUGCCCCAAGCGUUAUCCGGAAUCAUUGGGCGUAAAGGGUGUGUAGGUGGUGUUGUUAGUCUUCUGUUAAAAUCUUGGGCUCAACCCAAGGCCUGCAGGGGAAACGGCAAUACUCGAGGGUGCGAGAGGUGAAUGGAACUCAUGGGGUAGGGGUGAAAUCCGUUGAUAUCAUGGGGAACACCGAAAGCGAAGGCAAUUCACUGGCGCAUUCCUGACACUGAAACACGAAAGCGUGGGUAGCGAACGGG
rnacentral:rRNA from 1 species